GCCCGGUUAGCUCAGUCGGUAAAGCACCAGACUCUUAAUCUGGCUGUCGCGGGUUCGAGCCCCUCAUCGGGCU
rnacentral:tRNA from 1 species